CGCCACCCGCGUCCCUUUUUUAUGCUGUAAGAACCCAUAAAAUACACCUGAUACUAUAUCAUACUAUAUCAACCUCUCCCCUACCAACUAGCUCAGAUCAAAGGACAGUAACACUUGUUCAUUUUUGUUGUGUCAUAAAAUCAGUUCACACAUACUGUAUGAUUACAGUGAAAGUUUCAAAAAGUAGUUUAUUAUGGCCCUUAAUUUGAAGAGCUUUCUCUCAUCUUCUAUGAUAAUAAAGUGUUACUGCACAGGCAGUGUAAAUAGGUUACUCAAGCAAUACAGUGAAUAGGUGUCAUAAGAUUGCUUAUAUGUAAUAAUGCCACACACCGGUAGUAUUAAUAAAAUACUAGUUAAGCUUCAACUUGGGGAGGAUAAAUAUUGGACAAGUCUGCAAGGAGAACAGAUUCCUCAGAUUCAGAAAGAGAUAGCCUCCACUAUUGGAGAGUUCCAGAGCUCUGUCUAGUCAGGUUAUGUGAGAUCAAUUUCAACCUGUUAUUUCCGAGGUUGUGGACAGGCUGCUUGGACGAGUGAAAGCGAGCCAGGCGGGUUGGGCAAUGGGCUCUGUGGGGUGGUGAAUGUUUCCCUCUGUGAGGGUAUCUUCCCUGAGCCCCUUAAAGAGCCACUUAAAAAAACAAAACACCAACCAAUGUGGCCCAUUAUUGCCUGGUCUCAAAUCUUCCAUUCCUGGGCAAUGGAUAGGGAGAAGGCUGUCUCUCAAGCUACGUUAUGCUUAGUCAAACCAUUUCCCCAUCUACUACAUUUCCCCAUCUCUAAUUGGUAGAAGCUCUCUGAGGUCUCUGGCAGAGUGUUUCUUUCCUAGCUAUGUUACUUGUGAAUUUUUCAAGUGGAGAUGAACCUUGGCUCUCCUGCAUGCAAAACAUAUUCCCAACCAUUACAGUAUUGUAAUGAUGUGCUAGUGUGGAUUUUUACAUUGUUGAUUAGUACAGAUCAUGGCAUUGGUCCAGCUAGCAUUGCUUUACUAUAAGAUAUACCCAUCAGUGAACUAUAUGUGACCCUCGCAGGUACAAACAAACAUCCUGACCUUUUAGUACUUACUGUAAAGAUUAAUCUCUAGGUAUUAGCAAAAUUUAAUUAUCACCUUUCUAUAAGAAAGAAGUAGACUUCACAACUUCUUUCAAAAGUAACUUUAUUAUCUGGGAAAUGUAAGUGAUUGAGUGGGUGGUCGUUGAACAACUCCAGGAAUAUCUGGAGGAUGUAGACCAUUUGGACCCCUUCCAAUCAGGAUUCAGGCCCCAUGAUAGGACUGAAACCGCCUUGGUCAAGCUGGUCAAUGAUCUCUGGUGGGCUAGGGACAGAGGUGAAAACUGUUUCCUGGUUCUGCUGGAGCUCUCAGCGGCUUUUGAUACCAAUGACUAUGGCAUCCUUCUGAACUGUCUACAGGAGUUUGGAACUGGGGGCACUGCUAUACAGCUCCUUCCUCCUGGGCCCUGUCCAGAAAGUGGUGUUGGGGGAUGAGUGUUCAGACCCCUGGGCAAUCACUUGUAGGGAGCCUCAGGGCUUUUAAACAUCUAUAUGAAGGCGCUGGGAGAGAUUCUCAGGCAGUGGCUGACCUACGUUUUUGAGACCCUGAAGCUUGAACAGAUCUGGGGGCCCCUUCGCAACCAGCAAUGAGGUCUGGGUAACCACUGUUAUUGUCUUCUGUGGGGUUGUUCCAUGGCAGAUCGCUUGAAAAAAACAAAAAACUACCACAUCUCAGAUUUUGAUUAAAAUUGCUGCACUGGAAUAUUUCACAUGUCAAAGUCUUUUAUAUGACAAGCUGCCAUUCAAUUAUGCAAGCAAUUUAAUUUGGAACACUUCAUUAGACAGAAUGGUCAUAUACUAGUAUAAUAAAAUUGGUAUUAAAAUGGUAUUAAUAUUAUUAACUUGACAGAGGUGAAAGAUGACUAAGUACUGCUCUAAUCUAUAGUUCAGUGGAUGCAGGGUUACAUAUAUCUGCCAUUACCUAAGAAUCCAAGGUCUCUGUUUUUUUGCUGUCCUUUGUAUUCCAAAAAAUGGCAAAUACUCCCAGGGAGAUUGUUUAAUUGGUUUACUUUUAGGACAAUAAGUAAGAGGUCAGAAAGGCAGUGAUUAUAUUGUCAGCAAUUCUUAACAGGUAACAAACUAGUUUACCUUAGCAGUUUUACUUUUAGGACAUGAGGUAAGAGGUCAGAAAGGCAGUAGUAGCCCUGUCAGAAAUUCUUAAGAGGUAACAAACUAUUCUUGUUCAUAUUCACUUUUCUAUGUGAAUUUGUAAAAGAAAUUGUGUAUAAUUUUAUUCAUAUAUUCAUCUUAUUCACAUUUUCUGACUAGUUCUUUGAUUCCCACCCCCCUCAAGCAGACACCUUACAACAGGGGUCCUCACACUAUGGCUCACGGGCCACAUCCAGCCCCCAGGGUCCUAAAUCCAGCCUGCCUGGCCAUUUCAGAACCCGCCCCAAAGUCGGAGGUUGAAACGCCACACCGGGUUAACCUCAGCCUCAGGCUCUGCCUCAAGCUCAUUCCCCAACUCCCUCAUUCAGUCCCUUGGUCGCCUCUUCCCGGUCGUGCGCUGCCUCGCCGCACGGAUUUCACACGGCGCACAUGUCCCGCUUGAAGACUACAGGUAACUGCAGGGGUUGGUGUGGAACUGAAGCUCUAGCUCCUGCUUCUCUUGUAUGCAAUGCUCUCUCUACCAGAGGUAUGUACUUGUUUAGGCAUCACACUAGACAGCGUUCCUAAAGAUGUGAUCUGAACAUAGUUUGUUAAUGCAUUUCUCACUAGCUAUCUUCUUUGACUUUUUUUGGAUUUGAACUACAAAAUGGUGAUUUUCUUGAGUCAAAAUGAGAGUACCCCUAAACAUAUAUUUUUUUAAGAAAAAAAGCACUGGCAGGAAGUAUAUCCUAAAAAUGCAGUCUCCUGAAGAGAGUUCAAAUAAAUGCUGCAACAGCAAUAAUACCAUGGUACUGUUUGUGAGGGGAGGGGGAAGCAAGAGAUUUGAAUGCAGCCAUGAAAAUUACAGUAUAAUGAUGUAUCAUCUUAAGUCCUGUGGCUUCCCCCAUUUCCUGUAAACACAGCUUUGUGCCAGAAAUACAUUUGUGCUUUUAUACUAAAACAUUCCUGAUAAGUUGCAUACGGGAGAACAGCUUUGUCAAGGACCACAGCCCUGAUGCCCACUGUGACCCUGAACAAAUCAGAGUUGAUCAGGAUUCAGCACAUUUGCUUCCUCCAAAGUCAGAUUAUCUCCAAGGCUAAUGUUUAAAAUGUAGAACAGUACAGUAUUUAUGUCCAUUUUUAGGCAUGCAUUUUCAUAGGGGCUAACCAAUUUGUAUGUUUCUGUUAACAGUUUAACACAGGGAACAGAGUACCAUUAAGUGCUUGCGGAGGCCUAUACUCUCAUCAACACUCACAUCUGCUUCACAGCAGUACUGGCUGCAGAAUUUGAAGGCCUUCAUGCAGUGCACCCUUAGUGGGCCGCAUCAACCUAUGAUAGUUUAGCUGUGUGCCAGUCAUGCUUCUCCAGUCCUCCCUCUUCCCCCAGCAACUUGCACACUCCUCCACUUUCCCAAGUCCACAGCAUGCUGCAUGAAACUAAAAGGGGAAGGGUGCUCUUAUUUUGUUACCCCCUCCAACACAGCAAGACCCAGAGAACUUGAGGGAGAGGCAGAAUGUAGGUCUUUUCUUUCACUUCCCUGCAGGCUUUGGAGAAAAACAAUGGAACUAAUGGAACUUACUCCCUAAUUGGAGCACUGAAGGAUUACUACCACUUCUACCAUAGUAAAACGAUUAAAAGGUCAGUUCUCUCAAGUAGAGGUACUCACAGCUUCAUUUCAAUGGA